rnacentral:lncRNA from 1 species
AUGCCAUCCAGACUGAGGAAGACCCAGAAACUUUUGGGCUAUGUGAGCCACGGCCACAGCUGCACUGUAAAAAAGUAAAGCACUGGAAGCACCCAGGAGGCCGUGGUAAGGCUGGUGGCAUGCAUCACACAGGAUCAACUUUGACAAAUAUCACCCAGGUUACUUUGGGAAAGUUGGCAUGAGGCAUUACCACUUAAAGAGAAACCAGAGCUUCUGCCCUGCUGUCAAUCUUGACAAAUUGUGGACUUUGGUCAGGGAGCAGACAUGGGUAAAAGUUGCUAAAAACAAGACUGGAGCUGCUCCCAUUGUUGAUGUGGUAUGACCUGGCAAUUAAAAAGUUCUGGGAAAGGGAAAGCUCCCAAAGCAGCUAUUAUUGUGAAGGCCAAAUUCUUCAGCAGAAGAGCCAAGGAGACGAUUAAGGGUGAAAGAGGUGGGGUGGGGGUGUGGGGUUGGGGUCUUGGUGGCUUGA